rnacentral:misc_RNA from 1 species
AUUCAGGGAUCGGGAAACGCGCAGAGAUAUAUUCCGGAAAACGGGUGUGGAAGCUCGUGGUGAAAGGCACCUUGUUCUUCUGGCAAUAGCGCCGCACCAGAAUCCCGAUCGGACCUUCGGUCGCGAUAUGGAUGUAGUCAGGCUGCGCCUCUUCGAUCAUGCGCGCAAUCUUGCCCGGCCGCGGCAGCGCCACAUGCAGGUCGGCGUAGCUCGGCAGUGAGAUUGUGCGAAACGAUUCCGGCGUCAGGAAUUCGACCUCAACGCCCAUCGACGCGGCCGCUUCCGCCAUCUUGGUCAGCGUCCGCACCACGCCGUUGACUUGCGGGUGCCACGCGUCGGUUGCGAUCAGAAUGCGCAUCAGGCGGCC